GUGCUUGCUUUGGCAGCACACAUACUAAAAUUGGAAUGAUACAGAGAAGAUCAGCAUGGCCCCUGCACUAGGAUGGCAUGCAAAUUUAUGAAGCGUUCCAUAUUUGU
rnacentral:snRNA from 1 species